rnacentral:rRNA from 1 species
AGUGAACGCUGGCGGUAGGCCUAACACAUGCAAGUCGAACGGCAGCACAGUAAGAGCUUGCUCUUACGGGUGGCGAGUGGCGGACGGGUGAGGAAUACAUCGGAAUCUACUUUUUCGUGGGGGAUAACGUAGGGAAACUUACGCUAAUACCGCAUACGACCUACGGGUGAAAGCAGGGGAUCUUCGGACCUUGCGCGAUUGAAUGAGCCGAUGUCGGAUUAGCUAGUUGGCGGGGUAAAGGCCCACCAAGGCGACGAUCCGUAGCUGGUCUGAGAGGAUGAUCAGCCACACUGGAACUGAGACACGGUCCAGACGCCUACGGGAGGCAGCAGUGGGGAAUAUUGGACAAUGGGCGCAAGCCUGAUCCAGCAAUACCGCGUGGGUGAAGAAGGCCUCCGGGUUGUAAAGCCCUUUUGUUGGGAAAGAAAAGCAGCAGGUUAAUACCCCGCUGUUCUGACGGUACCCAAAGAAUAAGCACCGGCUAACUUCGUG